UAUAAAUAAUCCUUUAUUAUUUUAGGUUUAAGUUUGUAAUGAAUAAAAUAACAUCGUUGACAAGGUCCACGAACUUUCUCGAUUUCGUGGCCCGUAACGGCAAGUCAUGGAUUAAUGCUGGAUCGAUGGUGGAUCUGCGUAAUUUAUUUUACGACGUGGGCACUAUGGCAAGAUAUAGUUUGGAUAAGAAAAAUACUACUGCUACAUCUCCCGUUUGCUGGCAAUUCACACAAUGGAACAGAAACUGUACCCCUGCUUAGUAACAAUGCUUGUAAUUUCAAAAAAACACCGUCCAUUUCUGACUUAAAUGCCGAGCCCGCAAUCGAAAGAUAAAACGAGCGAAAUUCAUUUAGUUAUGAUGAUGUCAUGACAAACGCCAUAACGAAGAAUGUUUCAAAGGAUUGGAAGAUCUAAAGGGAAAAAAAACAUUCCAAUGCCAUUGCGACAAGCCGCGAUAUUUUAUCCUUCCCUGCGAGAAUCACCUGCUACAUGGAUUAGGGAUGUAUGUAGGAGUAAUGUAUCCUGAGCAACAUAGGAGGAGCCGUCAUACACGCUUGUGGGAAGCCGGAGAUGGGGUCAGGAACAUAACUAAAGCACUGCACACACUAAGUGCAACAAA